AUCUUGCUCAUAAUAGUCAUUGCAUUGCUCCCUCGCUUUCUUUUUAAAGUUGUACAUCAUAUUUUUUGGCCUUCUGAUAUCCAGAUAGCCAGGGAAGCUGAGAUUUUGAGAAGAAGACCUGAUCAUUUGAGGUCAAGACCUGACGGAUGUUCCAGUUGACUUGUAUAUUUGUUUCUUGUAGACACACACAUACAUAGAGAUGGCUUCCCUCAAGUUAACCAUCAUAUGGUUUCUCCUGCUGCAUGCUGUUGCGGUGCUCUAAAGUAAGUUAUGAAAUGGGAUUUGUGCCAAAAUGUAAUGAUGCAGCAUUUGACAGCAGAGCAGCCUCGCCAUGUGCAGGAUAAAAGGAGGACGGGGGAUGUUCAACUCUAAACCGAUUGGUGGUGCAUACAGAAUGACAUUUGCAUGAUUCAGGCAAGUGAACAUAUGAGGAAAAAGAGUUGGAAUACUGCUCUUGAAGAUGGAACUUGACCAAUUUGGUUGAUAUUUAUUGUGCAGAAGCGAGAAAGAUAGUGGAUGGUUAGUGUUUGUACGUGAUGUGAAGGCCGUGACGUGGUCCAAAGAAGAGGAGGAAGAAAAAAUGAAGUAAAUAAUAGUUUUUCCCUUUUUUUUUU
rnacentral:misc_RNA from 1 species